CGUGUAGGCGGUCGGUCCAAGUCUGAUGUGAAAGCCCGAGGCUCAGCCUCGGAAGUGCGUCGGAAACUAGUCGGCUGGAGCGCGAUAGAGGAGGGUGGAAUUCCUGGUGUAGCGGUGAAAUGCGUAGAUAUCAGGAGGAACACCGGCGGCGAAGGCGGCCCUCUGGAUCGUUGCUGACGCUGAGACGCGAAAGGCGUGGGGAGCAAACAGGAUUAGAUACCCUGGUAGUCCACGCUGUAAACGAUGGGUACUAGGUGUUCGGGGUAUUGACCCCCUGAGUGCCGCAGCUAACGCAUUAAGUACCCCGCCUGGGGACUACGGCCGCAAGGUUAAA
rnacentral:rRNA from 1 species